UAAGGCUUUAAUUGGGUGCUAAAAGAAUGAAAUUACAAAAAAAGACUUUCUUAAUUUUAAUAAUUAAAAUUAUUUUUUUUUGUGAAGAAACAAAAAUAAAAAUUAAAGACAAGAAGACCCUAAGAAUUUUCUUUUUUACUUAAUAUAAAAUAUUUUAUUUAAAAAUUUAAUUGGGGCGAUUAAUGAAUAUUAAUAACUUUAUAAAGAAAUAAAAUGAUCCAUUAUUAAUGAUUAUUUGAUUAAAAUACUCUAGGGAUAACAGCGUAAUAAUUUUUGAUAGUUCUUAUAGAAAAAAUAGUUUGCGACCUCGAUGUUGGAUUAGGAUUCUUUUUUAAUGAAGAAG
rnacentral:rRNA from 1 species